rnacentral:rRNA from 1 species
GAUGAACGCUAGCUACAGGCUUAACACAUGCAAGUCGAGCGAAGCGCCUUACUUGAUUUCUUCGGGAUGAAAGUAUUGUGACUGAGCGGCGGACGGGUGAGUAACGCGUGGAUAACCUGCCUCAUACAGGGGGAUAACAGUUAGAAAUGACUGCUAAUACCGCAUAAGACCACAGCACCGCAUGGUGCAGGGGUAAAAACUCCGGUGGUAUGAGAUGGAUCCGCGUCUGAUUAGCCAGUUGGACGGGUAACGGCCUACCAAAGCGACGAUCAGUAGCCGGCCUGAGAGGGUGAACCGGCCACAUUGGGACUGAGACACGGCCCAA